rnacentral:rRNA from 1 species
GCUUAGAAGCAGCCACUCAUUAAAAGAGUGCGUAAUAGCUCACUGGUCGAGUGAUCCCGCGCCGAAAAUUUAACGGGGCUAAACUAUAAACCGAAGCUUGGGAUACCGUAAGGUAUGGUAGGAGAGCGUCAUGUAAGGGGUGAAGUCAUAGCGAAAGCGGUGGUGGACUUUACAUGAGUGAGAAUGCCGGAAUGAGUAGCGAGAAUUAAGUGAGAAUCUUAAUGGCCGAAAGUCUAAGGUUUUUGGAGGAAGGUUCGUCCGCUCCAAGUAAGUCGGGAGCUAAGGCGAGGCCGAAAGGCGUAGUCGAUGCACAUACGGUUGAUAUUCCGUAACCACUGACAACUUAAACAAAAUGACACUUUAGAAGGGCUUGACCCGGGUGCUGGUAAUCCCGGGCGUAAGGGACCGAAAUUUAGUAGGGAAGCAAGCUUAGAUAGAGGCGAGAAAAGUUUUGUGUAUGUAAUGUUGGUGCCCGUACCGCAAACCGACACAGGUGGACAGGAAGAGAAUUCUAAGGCCAGCGGGAGAAGGGUAGUUAAGGAACUCGGCAAAUUGACUCCGUAACUUCGGAAUAAGGAGUGCUCGAAAGAGCCGCAGAGAAUAGGCCCAGGCGACUGUUUAGCAAAAACACAGGUCUCUGCCAAAUCGAAAGAUGAAGUAUAGGGGCUGACACCUGCCCGGUGCUGGAAGGUUAAGAGGAGGAGUGAGAGCUCCGAAUUGAAGCCCCAGUAAACGGCGGCCGUAACUAUAACGGUCCUAAGGUAGCGAAAUUCCUUGUCGGGUAAGUUCCGACCCGCACGAAUGGUGUAACGAUCUGGGCACUGUCUCAACUACCCGCCCGGCGAAAUUGUAGUACCGGUGAAGAUGCCGGUUACCUGCGACAAGACGGAAAGACCCCAUGGAGCUUUACUGUAGCUUGAUAUUGGGUUUCGGUAAUUUAUGUACAGGAUAUGUGGGAGACUGGGAAGUUAUGGCGCCAGCCAUAAUGGAGUCGAUGUUGGGAUACCACACUUAGAUUGCUGGAAUUCUAACCUGUGGCCAUGAAACUGGUCAGGGGACAUUGUCAGGUGGGCAGUUUGACUGGGGCGGUCGCCUCCGAAAGAGUAACGGAGGCGCUCAAAGGUUGGCUCAGCACGGACGGAAACCGUGCAUUAGAGUGUAAACGCGUAAGCCAGCCUAACUGCGAGGGUGACGGCCCGAGCAGUAACGAAAGUUGGAGUUAGUGAUC